rnacentral:rRNA from 1 species
ACGCGUAGGAAUCUGUCCAYGGGUGGGGGAUAACUCUGGGAAACUGGAGCUAAUACCGCAUGAUACCUGAGGGUCAAAGGCGCAAGUCGCCUGUGGAGGAGCCUGCGUUCGAUUAGCUWGUUGGUGGGGUAAWGGCCUACCAAGGCGAUGAUCGAUAGCUGGUYUGAGAGGAUGAUCAGCCACACUGGGACUGAGACACGGCCCAGACUCCUACGGGAGGCAGCAGUGGGGAAUAUUGGACARKGGGGGCAACCCUGAUCCAGCAAUGCCGCGUGUGUGAAGAAGGUCUUCGGAUUGUAAAGCACUUUCGRCGGGGACGAUGAUGACGGUACCCGYAGAAGAAGCCCCGGCUAACUUCGUGCCAGCAGCCGCGGUAAUACGAAGGGGGCUAGCGUUGCUCGGAAUGACUGGGCGUAAAGGGCGUGUAGGCGGUUKRUACAGUCAGAUGUGAAAUCCCCGGGCUUAACCUGGGAGCUGCAUUUGAKACGURUUGACUAGA